rnacentral:rRNA from 1 species
CAAGUUUAAGGUGGUAGGCUGAAAUCUUAGGUAAAUCCGGGGUUUCAAGGCCGAGAGCUGAUGACGAGUCGUCUUUUAGAUGACAAAGUGGUUGAUGCCAUGCUUCCAAGAAAAGCUUCUAAGCUUCAGGUAACCAGGAACCGUACCCCAAACCGACACAGGUGGUCGGGUAGAGAAUACCAAGGCGCUUGAGAGAACUCGGGUGAAGGAACUAGGCAAAAUGGCACCGUAACUUCGGGAGAAGGUGCGCCGGCUAGGGUGAAGGAUUUACUCCGUAAGCUCUGGCUGGUCGAAGAUACCAGGCCGCUGCGACUGUUUAUUAAAAACACAGCACUCUGCAAACACGAAAGUGGACGUAUAGGGUGUGACGCCUGCCCGGUGCCGGAAGGUUAAUUGAUGGGGUUAGCGCAAGCGAAGCUCUUGAUCGAAGCCCCGGUAAGCGGCGGCCGUAACUAUAACGGUCCUAAGGUAGCGAAAUUCCUUGUCGGGUAAGUUCCGACCUGCACGAAUGGCGUAACGAUGGCGGCGCUGUCUCCACCCGAGACUCAGUGAAAUUGAAAUCGCUGUGAAGAUGCAGUGUAUCCGCGGCUAGACGGAAAGACCCCGUGAACCUUUACUGUAGCUUUGCACUGGACUUUGAGCCUGCUUGUGUAGGAUAGGUGGGAGGCUUUGAAGCGUGGACGCCAGUUCGCGUGGAGCCAUCCUUGAAAUACCACCCUGGCAUGCUUGAGGUUCUAACUCUGGUCCGUAAUCCGGAUCGAGGACAGUGUAUGGUGGGCAGUUUGACUGGGGCGGUCUCCUCCUAAAGAGUAACGGAGGAGUACGAAGGUGCGCUCAGACCGGUCGGAAAUCGGUCGCAGAGUAUAAAGGCAAAAGCGCGCUUGACUGCGAGACAGACACGUCGAGCAGGUACGAAAGUAGGUCUUAGUGAUCCGGUGGUUCUGUAUGGAAGGGCCAUCGCUCAACGGAUAAAAGGUACUCCGGGGAUAACAGGCUGAUACCGCCCAAGAGUUCAUAUCGACGGCGGUGUUUGGCACCUCGAUGUCGGCUCAUCACAUCCUGGGGCUGAAGCCGGUCCCAAGGGUAUGGCUGUUCGCCAUUUAAAGUGGUACGCGAGCUGGGUUUAGAACGUCGUGAGACAGUUCGGUCCCUAUCUGCCGUGGACGUUUGAGAUUUGAGAGGGGCUGCUCCUAGUACGAGAGGACCGGAGUGGACGAACCUCUGGUGUUCCGGUUGUCACGCCAGUGGCAUUGCCGGGUAGCUAUGUUCGGAAAAGAUAACCGCUGAAAGCAUCUAAGCGGGAAACUUGCCUCAAGAUGAGAUCUCACUGGGAACUUGAUUCCCCUGAAGGGCCGUCGAAGACUACGACGUUGAUAGGCUGGGUGUGUAAGCGUUGUGAGGCGUUGAGCUAACCAGUACUAAUUGCCCGUGAGGCUUGACC